UACGUGAGGGGCAAGCGUUGUCCGAAGUUACUGGGGCGUAAAGCGCGCGUAGGCGGUUCUUUUAAGUUGAUUGUGAAUCUUCACGGCUUAACCGGAAAACUGCGGUCAAGACUGGGGAACUGGAGAUUGGGAGAGGGAAGUGGAAUUCCUGGUGUAGCGGUGAAAUGCGUAGAUAUCAGGAGGAACACCCAUGGCGAAGGCAGCUUCCCUGGCCCAAUUCUGACGCUGAGGUGCGGAAAGCGUGGGUAGCGAACGGG
rnacentral:rRNA from 1 species